GGGCCCGCACAAGCGGUGGAGUAUGUGGUUUAAUUCGAUGCAACGCGAAGAACCUUACCAGGGCUUGACAUCCUGCGAACCUCUGGGAAACCGGAGGGUGCCUUCGGGAACGCAGUGACAGGUGGUGCAUGGCUGUCGUCAGCUCGUGUCGUGAGAUGUUGGGUUAAGUCCCGCAACGAGCGCAACCCACGUCUUUAGUUGCCAGCAUUUAGUUGGGCACUCUAGAGAGACUGCCGGUGAUAAACCGGAGGAAGGUGUGGAUGACGUCAAGUCAUCAUGCCCCUUACAUCCUGGGCUACACACGUACUACAAUGCUACGGACAAAGGGCAGCAAGUUCGCGAGGACAAGCAAAUCCCAUAAACCGUGGCUCAGUUCAGAUCGUAGGCUGCAACUCGCCUACGUGAAGCGGAAUC
rnacentral:rRNA from 1 species